UAACUGCGCGUCAUAGUGUGAACUGCAGGACACAUUUGAACAUCGACAUUUCGAACGCACAUUGCGGUCCGUGGAGAAAUAUCCAGGACCACUCCUGUCUGAGGGCCG
rnacentral:rRNA from 7 species